UGACUAGAUCCAUACUCAUCUA
rnacentral:miRNA from 2 species